rnacentral:rRNA from 1 species
UACGAGGGGUGCGAGCGUUGUUCGGAAUUAUUGGGCGUAAAGGGUGCGUAGGCGGUUUGGUAAGUCUUAUGUGAAAUCUACAGGCUCAACUUGUAGUCUGCAUGAGAAACUGCCGGGCUUGAGUAUGGGAGAGGUGAGUGGAAUUCCUGGUGUAGCGGUGAAAUGCGUAGAUAUCAGGAGGAACACCUGUGGCGAAAGCGGCGCACUGGACCACAACUGACGCUGAGGCGCGAAAGCUAGGGGAGCAAACAGG